rnacentral:rRNA from 1 species
GAUGAACGCUGGCGGCGUGCCUAAUACAUGCAAGUCGAGCGAACAGACGAGGAUCUUGCUCCUCUGACGUUAGCGGCGGACGGGUGAGUAACACGUGUAUAACCUACCUAUAAGACUGGGAUAACUUCGAGAAACCGGAGCUAAUACCGUAUAAUAUAUUGAACCGCAUUGUUCAAUAGUGAAAGACGGUUUUGCUGGCACUUAUAGAUGGAUCCGCGCCGCAUUAGCUAGUUGGUAAGGUAACGGCUUAACAAGGCAACGAUGCGUAGCCGACCUGAGAGGGUGAUAGGCCACCCUGGAACUGAGCCACGGUCCAGACUCCUACGGGAGGACGCAGUAGGGAAUCUUACGCAACGGGCGAAAGUUUGGCGGAGCAACGCCGCGUGAGUGAUGAAGGUCUUCGGAUCGUAAAACCCUGUUAUUAGGGAAGAACAAAUGUGUAAGUAAAUAUGCACGUCUUGACGGUAACUAAUCAGAAAGCAACGGCUAACUACGUG